GAUGAAGAACGUAGUGAAAUGCGAUAAGUAAUGUGAAUUGCAGAAUUCAGUGAAUCAUCGAAUCUUUGAACGCAUCUUGCGCUCCUUGGUAUUCUGAGGAGCAUGCCUGUUUGAGUGUCAUUAAAUUCUCAACUACACUGACUUUGAAUUGGUGUGGCUUGGAUUUGGGGGGAAAAUUGUUGUGGGCUUUUUGUAUAGUCUGCUCCCCUGAAAUUGAUUAGCGGUACCUUUGUGGAACUGUCUACAGGUGUGAUAAUUAUCUACAUCUUAGACAUCUGCUGGAAUGCUGCUUUCUAACCCUUACUUGUAUUGACAAUCUUGACCUCAAAUCAGGUAGGACUACCCGCUGAACUUAAGCAUAUCAAUAAGCGGAGGA
rnacentral:misc_RNA from 1 species